rnacentral:rRNA from 1 species
AGAGUUUGAUCCUGGCUCAGAUUGAACGCUGGCGGCAUGCCUUAAACAUGCAAGUCGAACGGCAGCACGGGGAGGGGCAACUCUCCCUGGUGGCGAGUGGCGAACGGGGGAGUAAUGCAUCGGAACGUGUCCUCUUGUGGGGGAUAACCAGUCGAAAGAUUGGCUAAUACCGCAUGAGAUCGCAAGAUGAAAGCGGGGGACCGCAAGGCCUCGCGCGAGAGGAGCGGGCGAUGCCGGAUUAGCUAGUUGGGGGGGUAAAAGCCCACCAAGGCGACGAUCCGUAGCUGGUCUGAGAGGACGACCAGCCACACUGGGACUGAGACACGGCCCAGACUCCGACGGGAGGCAGCAGUGGGGAAUUUUGGACAAUGGGCGCAAGCCUGAUCCAGCCAUGCCGCGUGUGUGAAGAAGGCCUUCGGGUUGUAAAGCACUUUCGGACGGAACGAAAUCGCGCGGACGAACAUUCCGCGUGGAUGACGGUACCGUAAGAAGAAGCACCGGCUAACUACGUGCCAGCCGCCGCGGUAAUAC